AGCAGCCGCGGUAAUUCCAGCUCCAAUAGCGUAUAUUAAAGUUGUUGCAGUUAAAAAGCUCGUAGUUGAAUUUCGGGAUUGGCACAUCGGUCGUGCCUUAAGGGGUAUGAACUGGUGUAGCCAAUUUCUCACCUUCUGGAGAACCGCGAUGUCCUUAAUUGGGUGCCGCGAGGAACCAGGACCUUUACUUUGAAAAAAUUAGAGUGUUUAAAGCAGGCAUUUUGCUUGAAUACAUUAGCAUGGAAUAAUAAAAUAGGACGGAUGAUUCUAUUUUGUUGGUUUCUAGGACCACCGUAAUGAUUAAUAGGGAUAGUUGGGGGCAUUAGUAUUCAAUUGUCAGAGGUGAAAUUCUUGGAUUUAUUGAAGACUAACUACUGCGAAAGCAUUUGCCAAGGAUGUUUUCAUUAAUCAAGAACGAAAGUUAGGGGAUCGAAGACGAUCAGAUACCGUCGUAGUCUUAACCAUAAACUAUGCCGACUAGGAAUCAGACGAUGUUAAUUUUUUAAUGACUCGUUUGGCACCUUACG
rnacentral:rRNA from 1 species